rnacentral:ncRNA from 1 species
UCCCGAUAAAGCCGAACAUUUUGCGAGAAAUGGGGCGGAAUGCAACGGGUCUUUACUGUAAAGACAGCCGAGCUACCGAA